rnacentral:rRNA from 1 species
CCUACGGGGGACAGCAGUAGGGAAUUUUCGUCAAUGGGCGCAAGCCUGAACGAGCAAUGCCGCGUGAACGAGGAAGGUCUUCGGAUCGUAAAGUUCUGUUGAAGGGGAAAAAGAGCGGAGAGAGGAAAUGAACUCCGAUUGAUAUUACCCUUCGAGGAAGUCACGUCUAACUACGUGCAAGCAGCCGCGGUAAUACGUAGGUGGCGAGCGUUGUCCGGAAUGAUUGGGCGAAAGGGGUGCGUAGGCGGCCUGCUAAGUCUGGAGUGAAAGGUACCGGCUCAACCGGUACAGGCUCUGGAAACUGGAGGGCUAGAGAGCAGGGGAGGGCGGUGGAACUCCAUGUGUAGCGGUAAAAUGCGUAGAUAUAUGGAAGAACACCAGUGGCGAAGGCGGCCGCCUGGCCUGUUACUGACGCUGAGGCACGAAAGCGUGGGGAGCAAAUAGGAUUAGAUACCCUAGUAGUC